AUUUAUUUUUUUUAUCUUUAGGGCAUUUUUUUUUUGCUAACCAAGUGCUUACAGCAACCAAAUGAUAUUCAUUAUCUCUGGUCGUGAGUCAGCACGUGUCUAGGGGGAUAAACUAGUGGAAAGCAAAGACUGUAAUUUCUGUUAUGAAAUGGUGAUGGACACUACAGACAAGUAUUUUGAGGCAAUAUCUUGGUACCCGUCAUGGCUCCAAAUCUCAACUUCUGUUUCUAAAAUCUGAUUUACUGCAUUUGCUUUGUUUUCCUGCCCAGAAGAAAACCAGACAGUUUUCAGAAGAUGAGGAUUUUGCUGAAUCUUGCAAGGCUGAGCCCUGUGUGAGCAAACAGAAAAGGAGGGAACAUUUUCUUUUUCGCUCUGUGUGGACAAGCAACAUUUCUGAAUCUCAGAUGUGGCUGAAGGAGGAUCUGAUUGUGGCCAAAUUUGGUGGAUGCCAGACCCCAAAAAGCCCUUCUGUUUCCUUGGUCUAGGGCCAAACUACCACUGUGUAGAUCUUGCCAGUUUGUACAUCAAGAUGGGUGCCAAGAACAUGCCCACGGUGUUUUUGCUGACAGAUGCCCAAGUUCCAGAUGAAUGCUUUCUUGUGCUGAUUAAUGACUUGUUGGCAUCAGGAGAGGCUCCAGAUCUGUUCAGGGAUGAAGACAUGAAGGUCAUAACUGCAGCAGCUAGAAAAGAUGUCUGAGCCCUGGGCCUGGUGGACAUCAGCAAACACUCCUGGAGGUGAUUCCUGAGGCUGUGUCUGCAAUAGAAAACCCAUCCAAAAUGCAGCAUAGCCGUGAAACGAAGAUGAAGGAGAGGCCAAGGGGUGUCUGCUGCUGCUUCCAGGGAACCGGCGGGCGCUGUCCCUCCCUGGGGCCGUGCGGGGAGCGGGGCUGCGGGAAGCGCCGCUCCAGCUCCCGGGCUGCCGCUCCCGCGGCGCUCCGGCGGCACACGGGUGCCUCCUGUAGGACUGCGCGGGAGGGAGAGAUGCUUGCAAAUAAACCCGGCAUUUGUAUGUUCCAUCAGCUGCUCCUGUUAUUUUAACAGACUUCUAGUGCCAUCAGGAUAGUUAUUGGUUGUCUGGUGAGCUGGGAGGGAUAUCCAAGUGCAUUUAUUUUUGAUGUGAUACCAACUUCCUUAUUUGAAAGAAACAGAUAUGACUG